AUCCACCCCCACCCCUCCUCCGCCAGCCGCGUCCUCCCGGGCUCGGUGAGGAACUGUUCCUGGAGGAGCCGCGGGACACUGAAACCAGCCAAUGGAAAGCGGCGAGACGCGGAGAUUGGCACUGUAGAUGGGAAGUGGGUUCCUGGCUCAUCUGUUGAUGCAGUGCCAGAAGUGAGCUGCAGAACAGGAGUUACUGGAGAUGACAGUGACCAUGAGUCCUGAAGGAGGAAUAUUGAUCUCAGCGUUACUUUGACCAUUAAUGAAUUAUGAUGGCAAUAAGCAGAGCCGCACACCUUCAGCCUCCUGGGAGCUUAAUCUUCUGCUACAGCGUUUGCAUUUCAACCUACAAAGAAAGCUCCAAAGAAAGACGAGCUUGUGAACUGACUGAACUGCAAGCAGAAGAAUCCUCUUUGUACUCCUUGAUGUCAAGAAUGUGUUUACACUGUGGCCUAAUGCUCUGAACCUUUGUGUGUGAGUUCAGGGAUUCAGAACAUCUGAGGGCCACCAUGUAGUGGCGUGUGACAGGUCUGAAGCUCCCCAGUAGAAGCACUUGGGCUAAACGUGCCAUAAGACUUCAGUCAACACCAGCCCCCAAAGUCACUGAACUCCGUGACAUCAUGCCCAGGCAGGAAGAGUCAAUAGGCCUCUGGCGCGUCCUCCUCCCCUCCUUCACUCCCCACUG